CAGGAUCCCACUCUUAUUUUAGUCAGUAAGAAUUUUACUACAGAAACUGAGGCUGUGAAAAAAUUCAGUCGUGGUUCUGUCUGGAGCUUGGCUCUGCUGCCCAGCCCUACCCAAAGGCAGCCUGAAAGACCAGUAUGGGAUGAACAGAGGCUCCUGGGCUGAGAACAACAGUUUGCCACUUCCUGACUCCUGGGCCUUGUCUACUAGGCAAAUUUCGAGAAGGAAAUUCCCACCAGUGCUCUGAGCGUGUCUGAAAUUGUAAAUGGACUGUAUUCAGAAUGGUUUGUGUCACUGACUUAACAGGCAGUAUUAAACUUACUUAGGCUGCCAUCAGCUACAGGAACUUCCUAGAUACUUCAGCUUUUAGUGUGUAAUUGUGAUGUUUA